rnacentral:rRNA from 1 species
GUGGCUUCCGGAGCUAACGCGUUAAGUCGACCGCCUGGGGAGUACGGCCGCAAGGUUAAAACUCAAAUGAAUUGACGGGGGCCCGCACAAGCGGUGGAGCAUGUGGUUUAAUUCGAUGCAACGCGAAGAACCUUACCUACUCUUGACAUCCAGAGAACUUAGCAGAGAUGCUUUGGUGCCUUCGGGAACUCUGAGACAGGUGCUGCAUGGCUGUCGUCAGCUCGUGUUGUGAAAUGUUGGGUUAAGUCCCGCAACGAGCGCAACCCUUAUCCUUUGUUGCCAGCGAUUCGGUCGGGAACUCAAAGGAGACUGCCAGUGAUAAACUGGAGGAAGGUGGGGAUGACGUCAAGUCAUCAUGGCCCUUACGAGUAGGGCUACACACGUGCUACAAUGGCAUAUACAAAGAGAAGCGACCUCGCGAGAGCAAGCGGACCUCAUAAAGUAUGUCGUAGUCCGGAUUGGAGUCUGCAACUCGACUCCAUGAAGUCGGAAUCGCUAGUAAUCGUGGAUCAGAAUGCCACGGUGAAUACGUUCCCGGGCCUUGUACACACCGCCCGUCACACCAUGGGAGUGGGUUGCAAAAGAAGUAGGUAGCUUAACCUUCGGGAGGGCGCUUACCACUUUGUGAUUCAUGACUGGGGUGAAGUCGUAACAAGGUAACCGUAGGGGAACCUGCGGUUG